rnacentral:rRNA from 1 species
GUGGGGAAUCUUAGACAAUGGGGGAAACCCUGAUCUAGCCAUGCCGCGUGGACGAUGAAGGCCUUAGGGUUGUAAAGUCCUUUCAGCUGGGAAGAUAAUGACGGUACCAGCAGAAGAAGCCCCGGCUAACUCCGUGCCAGCAGCCGCGGUAAUACGGAGGGGGCUAGCGUUGUUCGGAAUUACUGGGCGUAAAGCGCACGUAGGCGGACUGAAAAGUUGGAGGUGAAAUCCCAGGGCUCAACCUUGGAACUGCCUUCAAAACUAUCAGUCUGGAGUUCGAGAGAGGUGAGUGGAAUUCCGAGUGUAGAGGUGAAAUUCGUAGAUAUUCGGAGGAACACCAGUGGCGAAGGCGGCUCACUGGCUCGAUACUGACGCUGAGGUGCGAAAGCGUGGGGAGCAAACAGGAUUAGAAACCCCAGUAGUCC